rnacentral:rRNA from 1 species
CCUACGGGGGGCUGCAGUGAGGAAUAUUGGUCAAUGGGCGGAAGCCUGAACCAGCCAUGCCGCGUGCAGGAAGACGGCCCUACGGGUUGUAAACUGCUUUUCCGGGGGAAGAAUAAGGGCGACGUGUCGCCCGAUGCCGGUACCCCGGGAAUAAGGAUCGGCUAACUCCGUGCCAGCAGCCGCGGUAAUACGGAGGAUCCGAGCGUUAUCCGGUUUUACGGGGGUUAAGGCGUGCGUAGACGGGCGCUUUGAAAGACGGGGGCUCAACCUUCGAACGGCCGUUGAUACUGGGCGCCUUGGAUGCGGUAGAGGCGGGCGGAAUGCGAAAUGUAGCGGUGAAAUGCUUAGAUAUGGCGCAGAACGCCGAUUGCGAAGGCAGCUCGCCAGGCCGACAUUGACGCUGAGGCACGAAAGCGUGGGGAUCGAACAGGAUUAGAUACCCUGGUAGUC